GACGAACGCUGGCGGCGUGCUUAACACAUGCAAGUCGAACGGUAAGGCCCUUCGGGGUACACGAGUGGCGAACGGGUGAGUAACACGUGGGUGAUCUGCCCUGCACUUCGGGAUAAGCCUGGGAAACUGGGUCUAGUACCGGAUAGGACUCCGGACUGCAUGGUCUGGGGUGGAAAGCUUUUGCGGUGUGGGAUGGGCCCGCGGCCUAUCAGCUUGUUGGUGGGGUGAUGGCCUACCAAGGCGACGACGGGUAGCCGGCCUGAGAGGGUGACCGGCCACACUGGGACUGAGAUACGGCCCAGACUCCUACGGGAGGCAGCAGUGGGGAAUAUUGCACAAUGGGCGAAAGCCUGAUGCAGCGACGCCGCGUGAGGGAUGACGGCCUUCGGGUUGUAAACCUCUUUCAGCACAGACGAAGCGCAAGUGACGGUAUGUGCAGAAGAAGGACCGGCCAACUACGUGCCAGCAGCCGCCGUAA
rnacentral:rRNA from 1 species